rnacentral:rRNA from 1 species
AUUGAACGCUGGCGGCAUGCUUUACACAUGCAAGUCGAACGGUAACAGGGUGCUUGCACCGCUGACGAGUGGCGAACGGGUGAGUAAUGCGUCGGAACGUGCCGAGUAGUGGGGGAUAACGCAUCGAAAGGUGUGCUAAUACCGCAUACGUACUGAGGUGGAAAGUGGGGGACCUUCGGGCCUCACGCUAUUCGAGCGGCCGACGUCUGACUAGCUAGUUGGUGAGGUAAAGGCUCACCAAGGCGACGAUCGGUAGCGGGCUUGAGAGGAUGAACCGCCACGCUGGGACUGGGACACAGCCCAGACUCGUACGGGAGGCAGCAGUGGGGAAUUUUGGACAAUGGGCGCAAGCCUGAUCCAGCCAUGCAGCGUGUCUGAAGAAGGCCUUCGGGUUGUAAAGGACUUUUGUCCGGGAGCAAAUACCCAGUGCUAAUAACGCUGGGGGAAGAAAUUAUUGACGGUACCACAGGAAUAAGGGACCGCUAAACUCGUGCCAGCAGCCGCCGCGGUAA